UACGGAGGGUGCAAGCGUUACUCGGAAUUACUGGGCGUAAAGAGCACGUAGGCGGUUUGAUAAGUCUGAUGUGAAAGCCCUGGGCUCAAUCCAGGAAGUGCAUUGGAUACUGUCAGGCUAGAAUAUAGGAGGGGUAAGUGGAAUUCCUGGUGUAGAGGUGAAAUUCGUAGAUAUCAGGAGGAACAACGGUGGCGAAGGCGACUUACUGGACUAUUAUUGACGCUGAGGUGCGAAAGCGUGGGGAGCAAACAGG
rnacentral:rRNA from 1 species